UCCUACGGGAGGCAGCAGUGGGGAAUAUUGCACAAUGGGCGCAAGCCUGAUGCAGCGACGCCGCGUGAGGGAUGACGGCCUUCGGGUUGUAAACCUCUUUCAGCAGGGAAGAAGCGAAAGUGACGGUACCUGCAGAAGAAGCGCCGGCUAACUACGUGCCAGCAGCCGCGGUAAUACGUAGGGCGCAAGCGUUGUCCGGAAUUAUUGGGCGUAAAGAGCUCGUAGGCGGCUUGUCGCGUCGGUUGUGAAAGCCCGGGGCUUAACCCCGGGUCUGCAGUCGAUACGGGCAGGCUAGAGUUCGGUAGGGGAGAUCGGAAUUCCUGGUGUAGCGGUGAAAUGCGCAGAUAUCAGGAGGAACACCGGUGGCGAAGGCGGAUCUCUGGGCCGAUACUGACGCUGAGGAGCGAAAGCGUGGGGAGCGAACAGGAUUAGAUACCCUGGUAGUCCACGCCGUAAACGGUGGGCACUAGGUGUGGGCAACAUUCCACGUUGUCCGUGCCGCAGCUAACGCAUUAAGUGCCCCGCCUGGGGAGUACGGCCGCAAGGCUAAAACUCAAAGGAAUUGACGG
rnacentral:rRNA from 1 species